UACGUAGGGGGCUAGCGUUGUCCGGAAUUAUUGGGCGUAAAGAGCUCGUAGGCGGUUUGUCGCGUCUGCUGUGAAAACUCGGGGCUUAACUCCGGGCCUGCAGUGGGUACGGGCAGACUAGAGUGCGGUAGGGGAGACUGGAAUUCCCGGUGUAGCGGUGAAAUGCGCAGAUAUCAGGAGGAACACCGGUGGCGAAGGCGGGUCUCUGGGCCGAUACUGACGCUGAGGAGCGAAAGCGUGGGGAGCGAACAGG
rnacentral:rRNA from 1 species